rnacentral:rRNA from 1 species
GAGUUUGAUCAUGGCUCAGGAUGAACGCCGGCGGUGUGCCUAAUACAUGCAAGUCGUACGCACUGGCCCAACUGAUUGAUGGUGCUUGCACCUGAUUGACGAUGGAUCACCAGUGAGUGGCGGACGGGUGAGUAACACGUAGGUAACCUGCCCCGGAGCGGGGGAUAACAUUUGGAAACAGAUGCUAAUACCGCAUAACAACAAAGGCCACAUGGCUUUUGUUUGAAAGAUGGCUUUGGCCAUCACUCUGGGAUGGACCCGCGGUGCAUUAGCUAGUUGGUAAGGUAACGGCUUACCAAGGCGAUGAUGCAUAGCCGAGUUGAGAGACUGAUCGGCCACAAUGGAACUGAGACACGGUCCAUACUCCUACGGGAGGCAGCAGUAGGGAAUCUUCCACAAUGGGCGCAAGCCUGAUGGAGCAACACCGCGUGAGUGAAGAAGGGUCUCGGCUCGUAAAGCUCUGUUGUGGAGAAGAACGUGCGUGAGAGUAAC